rnacentral:rRNA from 1 species
AGCGAACGCUGGCGGCAGGCUUAACACAUGCAAGUCGAGCGGGCGUAGCAAUACGUCAGCGGCAGACGGGUGAGUAACGCGUGGGAACGUACCUUUUGGUUCGGAACAACACAGGGAAACUUGUGCUAAUACCGGAUAAGCCCUUACGGGGAAAGAUUUAUCGCCGAAAGAUCGGCCCGCGUCUGAUUAGCUAGUUGGUGAGGUAACGGCUCACCAAGGCGACGAUCAGUAGCUGGUCUGAGAGGAUGAUCAGACACAUUGGGACUGAGACACGGCCCAAACUCCUACGGGAGGCAGCAGUGGGGAAUAUUGGACAAUGGGGGCAACCCUGAUCCAGCCAUGCCGCGUGAGUGAUGAAGGCCCUAGGGUUGUAAAGCUCUUUUGUGCGGGAAGAUAAUGACGGUACCGAAAGAAUAAGCCCCGGCUAACUUCGUG